rnacentral:lncRNA from 1 species
GGGGUGCAUUUGAUUUUCAAAUUGGGUACUUUUAACACUUUAGUGCCUGACUGCUGUUCUUCACUGACUUGACUCAGUCACUCGUAGCUUUAUUGGUCUGAACCAGCUCCUUGUUCCCAGGUUGCAGACCUGCCUAUCGUUCCAGUAAUCCUGUUUCACUUGAAUGAAGGGAGUAUGUCUUAAAUGUAAAGCUUCUGGUUCUCAACACUGUACUCUGAGGUCCAAAUGACUGUCUGUCAAUGUAUAACCUGAUGUCUCAACCCCCAGU